UACGGAGGUGGCAAGCGUUACUCGGAAUCAUUGGGUGUAAAGGGCAAGUAGGCGGUUUAAUAAGUGAGGGGUGAAAUCUUUCGACUCAAUCGGGAGACUGCCUUUCAAACUGUUAAACUUGAAGCAGGAAGGGGGAAAUGGAAUUCUUGGUGUAAGGGUGAAAUCUGUAGAUAUCAAGAAGAACACCGGCGGCGAAGGCGAUUUCCUGGUCCUGUCUUGACGCUAAAUUGCGAAAGCUAGGGGAGCAAACAGA
rnacentral:rRNA from 1 species